rnacentral:rRNA from 1 species
UACGUAGGGUGCAAGCGUUUGUCCGGAAUUAUUGGGCGUAAAGAGCUCGUAGGCGGUCUGUCGCGUCGGCUGUGAAAUCCCGAGGCUCAACCUCGGGUCUGCAGUCGAUACGGGCAAACUAGAGUAUUGCAGGGGGAGACUGGAAUUCCUGGUGUAGCGGUGAAAUGCGCAGAUAUCAGGAGGAACACCGGUGGCGAAGGCGGGUCUCUGGGCAAUAACUGACGCUGAGGAGCGAAAGCGUGGGGGAGCGAACAGG